AUCCCUAUUCAGCACAUAGACAUGAUGACUGGGUAGUCACACCACAGGCUAUGGUGUGAUGUGUACUUCCCACAACCUCCUUACAAUGUCAACACAUUACCCUUCUGGCA
ensembl:snoRNA LOC120102099 small nucleolar RNA U13